UUUAAAUUUAGAGUUUGAUCCUGGCUCAGGACGAACGCUGGCGGCGUGCUUAACACAUGCAAGUCGAGCGAUGAAGCUUCCUUCGGGAAGUGGAUU
rnacentral:rRNA from 1 species